AUGUACUUCCCGCCCGCGUUCUUUGACGUGAUGGUGCAUCUGUGUGUCCAUAUUGUGGAUGACAUAAUAGACCUGGGGCCGUCAUUCCUGCACAACAUGAUGCCGUUUGAGAGGAUGAAUGGGAUCAUCAAAGGAUUCGUUCGUAACAUGUCCCGUCCGGAUGGAACCAUCGUCCAGGGCUAUUUGACACAAGAGUGCAUCUCUUUCUGUGAGAAUUUUCUAUAUGGCGCAGACCAGCAGCCUGGUGUUAGUGUUGGUUUGCCCGUUAACAAUCACAAUGGGAGGCUCGAAGGAGAAGGUCACUGCAACAGUCACAGGGAACUGCACGUGGCAUACUCAGAUCGACGCAGCGACUUUGAUAGAGCAAACUUGGUAGUGCUACAACACCUAGACGAGGUAGAUCCUUUCGUGGCACUGCACAAAGAAAUUAUCGCAAAGAAGUACCGUGACCGGGGGGUAUGCAGGAGGGAAGCCAAAGUUACUAGAGAGCACAACUCCACUUUCCUGCAUUGGUUCAAAGAGCGUAUUAUUGCUAAUCCCCCGGAGGAGGGCUCUAAGGACGGAUUGCUCAUAUACGCCUUAGCACAUGGCCCCUCACCCAACCUUGUAACCUAUCAGGCAUAUGAUAUCAACGGAUACACGUUCUACACGGAUGCCAAAGAUAUGGACAGUGAUGAAUAUCAGAACUCAGGGGUGACGAUGGAAUGCAUGACCGGCAGCGACAACGGCGCAACUGAACGAUUUUAUGGAAGGGUCGAGGAGAUCUGGGAGCUUGACUACUCUGGACUGCACAACACGACGAUAUUCCGUGUCAGAUGGGCUAAGAAUGUCAAAAGAGAAAGCCGGAUUUUCACUACCAUGACUAUACCUGACGCCAAGAGCGCUACCGUGAACGCUAUCACAAAAAACGAGCCAUGGGUACAUGCUAAGCACGUGACACAAUGCUUCUUCAUAACCGACCCAUGCAAUCCCAGUCGUGUUAUCGUGAGGCAAGGCAAAAGAAACAUCAUUGGAAUGGACGGAGUCGCCAACGAGGAAGACUAUGAUCAGUACGGCAACCCAAUGAGGGAAGAUGAUGAUGAUGAUGAAGUACACAUCAAAAGAAGAAUCAAUACAACAUUACCAAAGAAAAAUCGUACUCCAUGGAAAAGGCAAAGUCACAAUGAGGGGCUCAAUUAUUCUUCGACGAAUAAGAAGGGAAAGAAGCUGACUCAAAAACGAAAACGUGAGCGCUGA
rnacentral:rRNA from 1 species